CAGAGUCUGGGACUGUGAGGAGCGGCGCGCAGUUUUGUGGAGGGUGUGGGACGUGGAGCGCUGGAAGGGGCGGCGGCGGGAAAGGACAGUCAGUGACGCUGUGUCUUAGCGCGUAGCGGAGGAAAACUAUUGCURAGUUACGGCGCGAGUAAAUAAAAACCUAUCAUCCUGAACUCUAGGUCGAGCUUUCCCAGGCCACUGCCUUUCAACACCUGUUUUUCACAUUUCAUUUUGACCCGCCUUCUUGGGUUGUAGGAAAUAACCUGGACGCAAGUGCUGGGACUGCUUCUUUAUGCAGUUCUCAAACAUGUUUCCUAUGUUCUGAUUUUCCUAGAGCUAAGACCACGGUAAAUAGAAAGACUUGGCUCUUUCAUAGUUUUGAAUCUAAGUGGGGAAGGUGAAAGAUUUUUCUUUUUGUUUUUUUGAGGGUUUGCCAGUUCGUUAUUUUUAUUUAUGGAAGAUUUAACUAGCAGUUUUAAUACUAGGACAAAGUAGGCACUUAUUAGAUGUUUUCUUAAUGAAAGUGUGUUUCUGAACAUAUCCUUUCAAAGUUCUAACUUGAUAACCAUGCUCUAUGUGAAAUUACCAAAUAAGGAUGAUACAGUGUACAAAACCAUCAAGCGCCUAAGGCCAAAUGGCAGGAUUACAUUGUUUUAGCAGUGCCGCUAACUAAUUGAGUGAGUCACUGGUUCAUAGUUGUUUUUGUCUUAUAACAAUAUAUCUAAAAUUAUGAGGUGAUUGGGAUUUCUAAUCUGUACUGAUAAAAAGUAUAAUUACCGUUCAACAUUUGAAAUGUAUAUUUCUAGAAUCAAAUAUGGAAAUUUAGGAAAAUGUUACAUAGUUAAUAAGUUAGCUGAAAUUACUAGAGAAAAAUGUUAUAACACUAAUAUGAACAACAACCAGAAGUCAAUAAAAGUGCUGGGGAUUGAACCUAAGGCCUUGCACAUAUAGUUCAUCCCAGAAGACAAGCGGGUCAGAGCUCUUCUGCCGGAUCUUCAACAUGUGCUGCACCAGGCGGAUGGAACGAUUAUAGGA